rnacentral:rRNA from 1 species
CGGGGGGCAGCAGUGAGGAAUAUUGGACAAUGGGCGCAAGCCUGAUCCAGCCAUGCCGCGUGCAGGAAGACGGUCCUAUGGAUUGUAAACUGCUUUUGUACGGGAAGAAACACUCCUACGUGUAGGAGCUUGACGGUACCGUAAGAAUAAGGAUCGGCUAACUCCGUGCCAGCAGCCGCGGUAAUACGGAGGAUCCAAGCGUUAUCCGGAAUCAUUGGGUUUAAAGGGUCCGUAGGCGGUUUAGUAAGUCAGUGGUGAAAGCCCAUCGCUCAACGAUGGAACGGCCAUUGAUACUGCUAGACUUGAAUUAUAAGGAAGUAACUAGAAUAUGUAGUGUAGCGGUGAAAUGCUUAGAUAUUACAUGGAAUACCAAUUGCGAAGGCAGGUUACUACUUAUGGAUUGACGCUGAUGGACGAAAGCGUGGGGAGCGAACAGGAUUAGAUACCCGAGU